rnacentral:rRNA from 1 species
UACGGGGGGAGCAAGCGUUGUUCGGAUUUACUGGGCGUAAAGGGCGCGUAGGCGGCCACUGCAAGUCGGUUGUGAAAUCUCCGGGCUUAACCCGGAAAGGUCAAUCGAUACUGCAGGGCUAGAGUGCAGAAGGGGCAACUGGAAUUCUCGGUGUAGCGGUGAAAUGCGUAGAUAUCAGGAGGAACACCGGCGGUGUAGACGGCUUGCUAGACCAUAACUGACGCUGAGGCACGAAAGCGUGGGUAGCAAACAGG